rnacentral:rRNA from 1 species
GCCCCGCAAGGGUGAGUAAACCGGCGAACGGGUGCGUAACACGUGGAUAAUCUACCUCCAUGACCGGGACAACUGGCCGAAAGGCUUGCUAAUACCGAUAAGCCCACGGGGUCUUUGGGCCCUGAGGGAAAAGGUGCCUCUGCAUGCAAGCUAUCGCAGGGAGAUGAGUCCGCGGCCCAUCAGCUCGUUGGCGGGGUAAAAGCCCACCAAGGCUACGACGGGUAGCUGGUCUGAGAGGAUGAUCAGCCACACUGGAACUGAGACACGGUCCAGACUCCUACGGGAGGCAGCAGUGGGGAAUCUUGCGCAAUGGGCGAAAGCCUGACGCAGCAACGCCGCGUGUGUGAUGAAGGUCUUCGGAUCGUAAAGCACUGUCGCGAGGGAAGAAACGCCUUCAGCCAACACCUGGGGGCUAGGACGGUACCUCGAGAGGAAGCACCGGCUAACUCUGUGCCAGCAGCCGCGGUAA